rnacentral:rRNA from 1 species
GACGAAGGGGGCUAGCGUUGUUCGGAAUUACUGGGCGUAAAGCGAGUGUAGGUGGUUGUCCAAGUUGGAUGUGAAAGCCUUGAGCUCAACUCAAGAAAUGCAUUCAGGACUGGGCGGCUAGAGGACCGGAGAGGAUAGUGGAAUUCCCAGUGUAGUGGUGAAAUACGUAGAGAUUGGGAAGAACACCAGUGGCGAAGGCGGCUAUCUGGACGGUUUCUGACACUAAGACGCGAAAGCGUGGGGAGCAAACAGG